CUCAGUAACGGCGAGUGAAGCGGCAACAGCUCAAAUUUGAAAUCUGGCGCAAGCCCGAGUUGUAAUUUGCAGAGGAUGUUUCGGGUGAAGCCACGGUCCAAGUCCCUUGGAACAGGACGUCAUAGAGGGUGAGAACCCCGUACCUGGCCGUCGGUGCCCCCCGCUGUGAAACUCCUUCGACGAGUCGAGUUGUUUGGGAAUGCAGCUCUAAAUUGGUGGUAAAUUCCAUCUAAAGCUAAAUACCGGCCAGAGACCGAUAGCGCACAAGUAGAGUGAUCGAAAGAUGAAAAGCACUUUGAAAAGAGAGUUAAAAAGUACGUGAAAUUGUUGAAAGGGAAGCGCUUGCGGCCAGACUUGCCCGCGGUUGCUCAGCCCGCCUUUUGGCGGGUGCACUCUUCCGCGGUCAGGCCAGCAUCGGUUUGGGCGGUCGGAUAAAGGCGCCGGGAACGUGGCCUCCCCUCGGGGAGGUGUUAUAGCCCGGCGCGCAAUGCGGCCAGCCCGGACCGAGGUUCGCGCUUUGCUAGGAUGCUGGCGUAAUGGCCGUAAGCGGCCCGUCUUGAAACACGGACCAAGGAGUCUAACAUCUAUGCGAGUGUUUGGGUGUCAAACCCGUGCGCGUAAUGAAAGUGAACGGAGGUGGGAACCGCAAGGUGCACCAUCGACCGAUCCUGAUGUCUUCGGAAGGAUUUGAGUAAGAGCAUAGCUGUUGGGACCCGAAAGAUGGUGAACUAUGCGUGAAUAGGGUGAAGCCAGAGGAAACUCUGGUGGAGGCUCGCAGCGGUUCUGACGUGCAAAUCGAUCGUCAAAUUUGCGUAUAGGGGCGAAAGACUAAUCGAACCAUUUGCAAACAGCAAUACUAGAUGGUCAAAGGGCGGAGAGCCUUAGUCCCCACGGGGGCCACACUGCCAAACUGCGGGGAACGCCCACAGCCGGACGCCACCGCCCCCCCGCCGCAAGGUGGGAGGGGCACCCCGUUUACUCGGGGGUAAGGUAACAGCGCGCCCGGCGGGUCGAUCCGCAGCCGUCCCCCGAUCCGUCGGGGGGUGGUUCACAGACUAGACGGCAGUGGGCGCGGCGAGCGCUUAAGAUAUAGUCGAUC
rnacentral:rRNA from 1 species